rnacentral:rRNA from 1 species
UCCAUAGAGGUCCAGCCUGCCCGGUGACAAGUUUAACGGCCGCGGUACCCUGACCGUGCGAAGGUAGCAUAAUCACUUGUUCUUUAAAUAGGGACUCGUAUCAACGGCAUCACGAGGGCUGUACUGUCUCCUUUCUCUAAUCAGUGAAACUGAUCCCCCCGUGAAGAAGCGGGGAUUUAACUAUAAGACGAGAAGACCCCAUGGAGCUUUAAGCCUAAUAUUUAGCCUACGCAACAUACCCCCUAAGUUAUAAAGGCCCUAAAUACCCGCUUUAGGUUGGGGUGACCGCGGAGUAUAACUAAACCUCCACGACUAAUGGGCCUCGCCCUUAUCCACGAACUACACCUCUAAGAAUCAACAAACUGAUGUUUGAUGACCCGAAACAUUCGAUCAACGAACCAAGUUACCCUGGGGAUAACAGCGCAAUCCACUUCAAGAGUCCAUAUCGACAAGUGGGUUUACGACCUCGAUGUUGGAUCAGGGUAUCCUAGUGGUGCAGUCGCUACUAAAGGUUCGUUUGUUCAACGAUUAAAACCCUACGUGAUCUGUUUCCAACCGGGA